rnacentral:rRNA from 1 species
UACAGAGGGUGCGAGCGUUGUCCGGAAUCACUGGGCGUAAAGGGCGCGUAGGCGGCUUGGUAAGUAGGGGGUGAAAUCUCAUGGCUCAACUGUGAGGCUGCCUUCUAGACUGCUAGGCUCGAGCACAGUAGAGGCGAGUGGAAUUCCCGGUGUAGCGGUGGAAUGCGUAGAGAUCGGGAAGAACAUCGGUGGCGAAGGCGGCUCGCUGGGCUGUUGCUGACGCUGAGGCACGAAAGCGUGGGGAGCGAACAGG